rnacentral:rRNA from 1 species
UACAGAGGGUGCGAGCGUUGUCCGGAAUCACUGGGCGUAAAGGGCGCGUAGGUGGCGGCCCAAGUCCAUGGUGAAAGCUCGAUGCUCAACAUCGAGUCGGCCACGGAUACUGGGUUGCUCGAGCACUGUAGGGGCAGAUGGAAUUCCGGGUGUAGCGGUGGAAUGCGUAGAGAUCCGGAAGAACACCGGUGGCGAAGGCGGCCCACUGGAUCGGUACUGACGCUGAGGUGCGAAAGCGUGGGGAGCAAACAGG